GACGAACGCUGGCGGCGUGCUUAACACAUGCAAGUCAAGGGGAACGAAAACUUCGGUUUUCAAGUACACUGGCGUACGGGUGAGUAACGCGUAGGCAAUCUGCCUUUGGCACUGGAAUAACAGUUCUAACGAGCUGCUAAUCACAGAUGACGCAACUUGGUGGCAUCACCUCGAGUUGUUAAAGGGUUUCGGCCCGGCCAAAGAUGAGCCUGCGUCCCAUUAGGUAGUUGGUAGGGUAAUGGCCUACCAAGCCGACGAUGGGUAGCUGGUCUGAGAGGAUGAUCAGCCACAUUGGGACUGAGACACGGCCCAG
rnacentral:rRNA from 1 species